ACGGAAGGCAGCAGUGGGGAAUAUUGGGCAAUGGGCGCAAGCCUGACCCAGCAACGCCGCGUGAAGGAAGAAGGCUUUCGGGUUGUAAACUUCUUUUGUGAGGGACGAGAAAAUGACGGUACCUGACUAAGAAGCCCCGGCUAACUACGUGCCAGCAGCCGCGGUAAUACGUAGGGGGCAAGCGUUAUCCGGAUUUACUGGGUGUAAAGGGAGCGUAGACGGCAAGGUAAGUCUGAAGUGGAAUGCCGGGGCUCAACCCCGGAACUGCUUUGGAAACUAUCUCGCUCGAGUACCGGAGGGGUAAGCGGAAUUCCUAGUAUAGCGGUGAAAUGCGUAGAUAUUAGGAGGAACACCAGUGGCGAAGGCGGCUUACUGGACGGUAACUGACGUUGAGGCUCGAAAGCGUGGGGAGCAAACAGGAUUAGAUACCCUGGUA
rnacentral:rRNA from 1 species